rnacentral:lncRNA from 1 species
UUUUUUUUUGUCAACCAAAUUGAAUUGCAUUAAAAGAUCCAAGGUUAUUAUACAUAGAUUUAUGAGUAAGUCUAGCCUGUAUUGCUAAGGCAUCCACAUGACUUGGAGAUUCUCUGGAUACAUAAUGAAAAGUAUAUGCGCAUUCCUUGAUGCGGUUCAUUUUGAGAGUUUGUACUUUGUUCAGUCCUCAACUGAUUUAACUCUUCAAUCAUAUUCUUGCAAUCAGCCAUAAAAUGCAACUUGCUUAUAAUUGAGUCUUCGUAACUGUUGCACUGCUGACAGUAAUUCAGUAAAGCUGCAGCCUCUGCUUCUCCCACUGUGUUUACUGUCUUCAGAGAGGAAGACCCUUGGAGGAGACGGUUUCCUUCUUUACUAAAGAAGGACCAACCAAUCCCUAUGAGAUCUCUCGAUGAUUUCCAUGACGCGUCACCAGACAGUAGUAAGAAGCUUCAUGAGGCACCUCCGUUUGAAUUGUAGGCUUGGGCCUGCUCACAAUUGCUC